ACUCACUGGAAACCCAGGGGUGGACCUGUCCAGAGCCCAUGUUUUUUCUGACAUGUCAGUGCACUGUUCUGUGGGGACCUGUUGCUACCGACCGAAAUUCUAAGAACCCAGGAAGCCAUGAUCGCUGAACAAAGAAUAGUGCCAUGUCUCCACAUUCCAAAUGGGUAAAUGUUUUGCACCUCCACCUGAAGCAUGUUUGCUAUUCAUUCCCCCGGAGAGCUAAAGACACUUAUCAGAAAGGAGAGAAGCCUGCCAACCUCGCCCAACACACCCUUGCCCGUGUCCCCCUCUCAUUUGUUUGAAAAUGUAUGUGAACUAGCUGAA
rnacentral:lncRNA from 1 species